AGUGAACGCUGGCGGUAGGCCUAACACAUGCCAGUCGAACGGCAGCACAGUAAGAGCUUGCUCUUACGGGUGGCGAGUGGCGGACGGGUGAGGAAUACAUCGGAAUCUACUUUUUCGUGGGGGAUAACGUAGGGAAACUUACGCUAAUACCGCAUAUGACCUACGGGUGAAAGCAGGGGAUCUUCGGACCUUGCGCGAUUGAAUGAGCCGAUGUCGGAUUAGCUAGUUGGCGGGGUAAAGGCCCACCAAGGCGACGAUCCGUAGCUGGUCUGAGAGGAUGAUCAGCCACACUGGAACUGAGACACGGUCCAGACUCCUGCGGGAGGCAGCAGUGGGGAAUAUUGGGCAAUGGGCGCAAGCCUGAUCCAGCCAUACCGCGUGGGUGAAGAAGGCCUUCGGGUUGUAAAGCCCUUUUGUUGGGAAAGAAAAGCAGCAGGUUAAUACCCCGCUGUUCUGACGGUACCCAAAGAAUAAGCACCGGCUAACUUCGUG
rnacentral:rRNA from 1 species